AUUGAACGCUGGCGGCAUGCUUUACACAUGCAAGUCGGACGAGUGGCGAACGGGUGAGUAACGCAUCGGAACGUACCUAGUAAUGGGGGAUAACUGUCCGAAAGGACAGCUAAUACCGCAUAUUAUUCGAGCGGCCGAUGUCUGAUUAGCUGGUUGGCGGGGUAAAGGCCCACCAAGGCGACGAUCAGUAGCGGGUCUGAGAGGAUGAUACGCAACAGGGGGACUGAGAACGGGCCCGGACUCCUACGGGGGGAAGCAGUGGGGAAUUUUGGAAAAUGGGCGAAAGCCUGUGCCAGCCAUGCCGGGUGUCUGAAGAAGGCCUUCGGGUUGAAAAGGACUUUUGUCAGGGAAGCGGUACCUGAAGAAUAAGCACCGGCUACCUACGUGCCAGCGCCGCGGUAAUAC
rnacentral:rRNA from 1 species